ensembl:snRNA U2 U2 spliceosomal RNA
AUCGCUUCUCGGCCUUUUGGCUAAGAUCAAGUGUAGUAUCUGUUCUUAUCGGCUCUCUGGAACAUAAUGGACGGCGGAUGGUCACCGUCCACCUCUUUAACCCCUUCGUCACCGCCG